UCGAGAAAGACACACGAGGGGCCUUGUUUUAACGAUCUAAGAGCACGGCGUAAAGCACGUGGCGCAGGUGCGUUUAGGGCGUGUCCAAGCCCACUUUUGCUAGUUUGACGACUGAAA